GUAUUUGCAAAAUUCUAAAUGGCAUUUAACAAGAAUUUCUUUAUCAUCGUCGAUCAAAUAUUUUGUUCAAUCCUUACUUUUCUUUUAUUGAUUUGAAAACCAAAAAUAAGGCUCGCUUAAUUUGCUUUCGUUUCUAUGUUAUAUUCGAAAUAUUAGCCUACCUCUUUCUUUUACCACCCAUUUACAUCCUCCGUACAAGUUUUCUUUUUAAUAACAUUUACUCGAAACUAACGAUAUACAAACUUACUUAGGAUUUAUUUCCUUUACCUUUUCUAUCCGGUAUAAAACACCAGACGCAGCGAUACAUUACGUGAUUUUCAACUGGUAACGAAAAAAUAAAUAUACAAAAAUAUCAAAUAAAAAUAGACUAAGAGAAAGAAGAAGAAGAAGAAGAAGAAGAAGAAGAAGAAGGGAUGAAACUGGACUAUAUUUAUAGUUACACGUAUAUUUUUUCUUAUUUUCUUUUUUGUUCUGUGGUGUGUAAAAAAAACGUAACACCAAAAGUAAAGUAAACUUGGACGCGUAAGGUAAACGGCGGAGGCACCUAAAAUGCAUUAACCUAGAAGCCCAGUGCACCGUGCAUGUAAAAAGAAAAAGGAAAAGAAAGAAAAGAAGGGUUGAAAUUUCCUUCGAGAUAUUUACAACUCGGUUACGAACGAGUAGUCCAUUGAAAUAGAGUCAGACACCAUAAAUUGGGGGUAGAAAGGAGGAAACUGAUCUAAGGGAAAAAAGCUAAUAAAACUGACAAAGAUUAUUCCUGGCAUAAGAAGAAGAAGAAAA
rnacentral:lncRNA from 1 species